GUCCUCUCAAAGUCCACCCUAACUCCAGGCAGGUCCUUUUGCACUUCAGCAGCCUUUCCUGCUGUGGAACCUCGGGAGAGCUGCUGGGCAGCACACAGACAGAGAACUGAGACCAGAGCCCAAGCUGAGUGCUUAGUGAGGGGUUGGGUGACCCUGAAAAUCUGCCUAGAUGCCACUUAACCCUGAAGAUGGUUGAAGUUUUACGGCUGAUUGACUCGUGUCUUUAUUUUAUUUCAAGCAUAUAAAGAGCUCUGCUGUGGCUCAGCACAGAACUGAGGUGGUGUAUCCAGUUUGCUGGUGUGUGAAAGGUGUCACCAAGUUAGGAGUCCUUGCAUUUGUGACUUCUUACGAGCUCUUGGGACAUGAGAAGUCCAUAGUGAAUGAAUGAAAACUUUUUGUGGCAAAAUCCAUGCUGGCCCGGUCUUUCUUUCUGAGUAUUGCACAAACCACGUGGAAAAAAGUGCAGGAUCUUAAGUCUGGCACCAAGACCUCAGGCGUGUGUUUGCAGUACCUGAUUUUAUCUACAAGAUCACUUUGUGGCUGUGUUUGUAAGGUACCUGCUUAGAGUCAAAAGGAAAGCUUUCAGAAUUGUAAUGAGCUUCCUGGGUCACUAACAAGGUGAAUUAAACAGCAGAUCCAUCUGUUUGCUACUUCUACAUCGUGGGGCUUUGCUUCCUGUGAGUUCUGGCUCCACGGGUUUUGCUAGAACCCUGAAGGUGUCUGUGGAGAGAGUGUUUCAAGAGGGACUUCUUUUUUUUAAGCCCUGCCUUUGAAGAGGGUAGUGGUUUUUCAUCUGUCAUAGUCUCUCCCACAAGAUGUCACAAAGGAAGACUUUGUUCUUGCAGUACCUGCAGGCCUUGAGCUGCACUGUAAAACUGAGGAAUUGUCUGGAGGAGCCUGAGGAAAUGGUGCCCCAGCAGGAGCUGGGGUGUGUGGGGUCCAUCCAUGGGCCUGGGCUCCCACUGCACAAAUGCUGUCACUGUUAAAAACCCUGCAGUGCCUCUUCCCAUCAUGUGCUGGGUGCACACGUGGAUGCCCCUACCUGCACUCGCUGUCCUUUGCUGGAUGGUUUUAGAGCGUUUUCCAUCUGCCCAAAGUAAAAGUUUAGUCAGACAUUUAAUCAGCUGCUGCACAUACAAUUUAAGAGGUUGGAAAACGCGUAUUUCUGCCAGUAGAAUAAAGUAUUCUGCUAGUAGAAUGUGAUAUUAUGUGCUUUGACAUGUUUUGCUUCCUCAAAUACCUGACAAUAUGCAAAAUUCUGGUAUGUCUCAACAGAAAAGUUGGUAAUACAGAUUGCAAGCAGAAUGUGGAGAAGAUAGCUCCGAGGCAUUCAGUUCUUCUGUCUCCCAUCUUUCAGCUCCGUUUGGUAUUUUCACUUCUGUUCCGAUGUCUACCUGGGAAAAUGAUUUGAACUGCUGACUUCCGUGCUUAUCUGCAUGAAACCUUGGGGAUGGGGGUUCGGCUCUAAGGGCUGUGCAGGAGUACAAGAGAAAGACUCUGUGUCCCUGAGAGCCUCUGCUUGUGUCUGUCAUUGCUGCAUGGAGAUGGCAAGAGCAGUGUUGGAGGAGAAGGGAAUACAGGGGACCUUGCCCCUGAUGAGUAACAGCUGUGUUAAUUACCCCGUUCAGCCUUGCCCCAUCAGUUACAGCUGUGUUAAUUGCCCAGUUCAGCCUUGCCCCAUCAGUUACAGCUGUGUUAAUUGCCCCGUUCAGCCUUGCCCCUGAUGAGUAACUGCUGUGUUAAUUACCCCGUUCAGCCUUGCCCCUGAUGAGUAACAGCUGUGUUAAUUACCCCGUUCAGCCUUGCCCCUGAUGAGUUACAGCUGUGUUAAUUGCCCAGUUCAGCCUUGCCCCUGAUGAGUAACAGCUGUGUUAAUUGCCCAGUUCAGCCUUGCCCCAUCAGUUACAGCUGUGUUAAUUGCCCCGUUCAGCCUUGCCCCAUGAGUUACAGCUGUGUUAAUUACCCCGGUCAGCCUUGCCCCAUGAGUAACAGCUGUGUUAAUUGCCCCGUUCAGCCUUGCCCCUGAUGAGUAACAGCUGUGUUAAUUGCCCCGUUCAGCCUUGCCCCAUGAGUUACAGCUGUGUUAAUUAAUUACCCUGAUGAGGCACAGGUAUGUGUCCAAUCAAGGUAAGUGUGAUGAAAGGGUGGAGCUUAACUGGUGAUGGGGAGAGGAUCAUGGAGAAGGAACCUUCAGCAUCAUGAACAAGAAGAUGAAGAGUCCUGGGGAGAGGAUCACUGCUGUGAGGUUAUCCAAACUCCUCUUUUCUUUUUGCCUCUGGAAGUCUGUAUCUUAGUGGUCUCUUCACCAGUCUCCAGGCAUGUGUGUUAGUCUCCAUUGCAAGAACCUGCUUUUUGCUUCCUGAUGUUUUAUUUUCAGUCUGAAUUGAUAACCCAGCGUCUUGCACGAUGAGACACCAGUCCUGGCUACGUCAGUGGUGUGAACGAUAUUUGAGAAGAGGCAUAAGCUUGUGAGUGG